rnacentral:tmRNA from 2 species
UCUCUUCAAAUUUUAUUUAAUAAAUUGUAUAAAAGAAAUGCUGGUUUACCAGAUAUAGUGAUAAACGGUUGAUAUAAUAAACUAUUCGGACCCGGGGGCGGUACCCGGCACCU